rnacentral:rRNA from 1 species
AUGUGCUGUGAAAUGAGGCCGGGGUUCGGGUUCGGGUCUGCGCGGCGCGGCGUCUGGAGGAGCUGGCCCGCCCUGUGCUCACGGCAGCUGCAGCAGUGCUUCUCCCCGUCUCUCCGCUCCGCAAAGAAGCUGCACGUCACAGCCACCACUCUCCCACUGCCUGACGCGAGGAAGAAGAGCAAGGUCAUUGUGAUAUCAGGCCCCACCGGCGCUGGCAAGAGCAGGCUCGCGCUGGAGGUGGCCAGGAGGCUAGGGGGAGAGAUCAUCAGCGCCGACUCGGUGCAGGUGUACCGCAGCCUCGACGUCGGCUCCGCCAAGCCGUCCGCCUCCGAGAUGAGCAUGGUGCCGCAUCACCUGAUCGACAUCAUGCACGCGUGUGACGAUUACUCCGCUGGGAUGUUCUUCCACGACGCGCGAGCAGCGACGCAAGAUGUUCUUGGCAGGGGCUCUGUGCCUGUCGUUGCAGGAGGGACCGGGCUGUACUUAAGGUGGUUUAUCUACGGCAAGCCAAAUGUUCCACAGUCAUCCACAGACAUCAUAUCAAGUGUGUGGUCUGAGCUCGCUGGAUUUCGUGAGAGCGGCCGGUGGGAAGAAGCGGUGGAGCUCCUGCUCAAGGCCGGGGACCCCGAAGCUCGGGACUUGGAUACAAAUAACUGGGCCAGGUUAAGCAGAAGGCUCGAGAUCAUCAGGUCAUCUGGUUCCCCUGCAUCUUCCUUCACCCUACCAUACAGCUCGUUUCAGAAGCAGCAAGACACCAAGCUAACUGAUUCCCCAAGCGAUGAUGCAACCUGCGAGGCGAAGGAACUGGAGUAUGAUUUCCUGUGUUUUUUCCUAGCAUGCCCACGGGUUGAACUCUACAGAUCAAUUGAUUUGAGGUGUGAGGAAAUGCUGGCUGACACAGGAGGCCUUCUUUCAGAAGCCUCAUGGCUUCUUGAUGUUGGGUUGCAGCCAAAUAUGAACUCUGCAACCCGUGCCAUUGGUUACAGGCAAACCAUGGAGUACCUGGUGCAUUGCAGACAGAAUGGAGGCAGUAGCUCCCCAGAGGAGUUCUUGGAGUUCCUGACCAAGUUUCAGCAGACGUCUAGGAACUUCUCAAGGAGGCAAAUGACCUGGUUCCGCAACGAGAAGAUUUACCAGUGGGUUGACGCAUCGCAGCCUUUUGAAGAGAUUGUUCAGUUUAUCUGUGACGCUUACAAUGGCUCUGAUGCAAUGGUGCUGCCUGAAUCACUUGAAAUGAAAAGGGAAAGUUGCGUGCACACAAGCAAGGAUCUCAAAACCUAUCGUCCAGAGAACAGGGUGUUCCUUGGGCACGAAGAGUGUUGCCACAUUUUGGAUUGGAUUAGGAGGACGCAGGGGAAGUGA